GGAGUUAGCCGGUGCUUCUUCUGUGAGUGAUGUCCUUCCUGCCGGCUAUUAACCCGCAGGCCUUCUUCCUCACUGAAAGUGCUUUACAACCCGAAGGCCUUCUUCACACACGCGGCAUGGCUGGAUCAGGGUUGCCCCCAUUGUCCAAUAUUCCCCACUGCUGCCUCCCGUAGGAGUCUGGGCCGUGUCUCAGUCCCAGUGUGGCUGAUCAUCCUCUCAGACCAGCUACGGAUCGUCGCCUUGGUGAGCCGUUACCUCACCAACCAGCUAAUCCGACAUAGGCUCAUCCGAUAGCGCGAGGCCCGAAGGUCCCCCGCUUUCCCCCGUAGGGCGUAUGCGGUAUUAGCCUGGGUUUCCCCAGGUUAUCCCCCACUACCGGGCAGAUUCCUAUGCAUUACUCACCCGUCCGCCGCUCGCCACCAGGGAGCAAGCUCCCCGUGCUGCCGCUCGACUUGCAUGUGUUAGGCCUGCCGCCAGCGUUCAAUCUGAGCCAGANCAACACUCAUCAGCGGCGGNGUCGACGACGGCGACUAG
rnacentral:rRNA from 1 species